rfam:Camelus ferus unplaced genomic scaffold scaffold1776, whole genome shotgun sequence.
GAGGGUAUAGCUCAAAUGGUAGAGUGCAUGCUUAGCAUGCAUGAGGUUCUGGGUCCAAUCCUCAGUACCUCCA